UACAGAGGGUGCAAGCGUUAAUCGGAAUUACUGGGCGUAAAGCGAGCGUAGUCGGUUAUUUAAGUCGGGUGUGAAAGCCCCGGGCUCAACCUGGGAAUUGCAGUGGAUACUGGCAAGCUAGAGUGCGGUAGAGGAUGGUGGAAUUCCCGGUGUAGCGGUGAAAUGCGUAGAGAUCGGGAGGAACACCCGUGGCGAAGGCGGCCAUCUGGACCAGCACUGACGCUGAGGCACGAAAGCGUGGGGAGCAAACAGG
rnacentral:rRNA from 1 species